UCCGGUUUGGCACCGGCAGUCUCCCUAGAGUUCCCGGCAUUACCCGCUGGCAACUAAGGACAGGGGUUGCGCUCGUUGCGCCACUUAAGGCAACACCUCACGGCACGAGCUGACGACAGCCAUGCACCACCUGUGCGGGCUCCGAGGAGCGCCGUAUUUCUACGGUUUCACCCCGCAUGUCAAGCCCAGGUAAGGUGGGGAUGACGUAUAGGAGCUCGAC
rnacentral:misc_RNA from 1 species